AUUGAACGCUGGCGGCAUGCCUAACACAUGCAAGUCGAACGGGGCAGCAAUGCCUAGUGGCGGACGGGUGAGGAAUACGUAGGAAUCUGCCCUUAAGUGGGGGAUAACCAGGGGAAACCCUGACUAAUACCGCAUGAUCUCUUCGGAGCAAAGAGGGGGACCGCAAGGCCUCUCGCUUCUGGAUGAGCCUACGUCUGAUUAGCUAGUUGGUAGGGUAAAGGCCUACCAAGGCGACGAUCAGUAACUGGUCUGAGAGGAUGAUCAGUCACACCGGAACGGAGACACCGUCCGGACGCCUACGGGAGGCAGCAGUGGGGAAAAUUGGACAAUGGGCGCAAGCCUGACGACGCAACGCCGCGUGGAGGAUGAAGAUCUUGGGGUCGUAAACUCCUUUCGAUCGAGACGAACGGCCCCGGGGUGAACAAUCCCGGGGAGUGACGGUACCGAGAGAAGAAGCCCCGGCUAACUCCGUGCCAGCAGCCGCCGUAAGAC
rnacentral:rRNA from 1 species